rnacentral:rRNA from 1 species
UGGGGAAUCUUGCACAAUGGGGGCAACCCUGAUGCAGCGACGCCGCGUGAGCGAUGAAGCCCUUCGGGGCGUAAAGCUCUUUCGACCGGAACGAUAAUGACGGUACCGGGAGAAGAAGCUGCGGCUAACUACGUGCCAGCAGCCGCGGUAAUACGUAGGCAGCAAGCGUUGUUCGGAGUUACUGGGCGUAAAGAGUGCGUAGGCGGUUUUCUAAGUUCGGUGUGAAACCUCCCGGCUUAACUGGGAGGGUGCGCCGAAGACUGGGAAGCUGGAGUGUGGGAAAGGCAGGCGGAAUUCCUGGUGUAGCGGUGAAAUGCGUAGAUAUCAGGAGGAACACCGGCGGUGUAGACGGCUUGCUAGACCAUAACUGACGCUGAGGCACGAAAGCGUGGGUAGCAAACA